UAGGGAAUCUUCCACAAUGGACGCAAGUCUGAUGGAGCAACGCCGCGUGAGUGAAGAAGGUUUUCGGAUCGUAAAGCUCUGUUGUUGGUGAAGAAGGAUAGAGGUAGUAACUGGCCUUUAUUUGACGGUAAUCAACCAGAAAGUCACGGCUAACUACGUGCCAGCAGCCGCGGUAAUACGUAGGUGGCAAGCGUUGUCCGGAUUUAUUGGGCGUAAAGCGAGCGCAGGCGGAAGAAUAAGUCUGAUGUGAAAGCCCUCGGCUUAACCGAGGAAUUGCAUCGGAAACUGUUUUCUUGAGUGCAGAAGAGGAGAGUAGAACUCCAUGUGUAGCGGUGGAAUGCGUAGAUAUAUGGAAGAAUACCAGUGGCGAAGGCGGCUCUCUGGUCUGCAACUGACGCUGAGGCUCGAAAGCAUGGGUAGCGAACAGGAUUAGAUACCCUGGUAGUCCAUGCCGUAAACGAUGAGUGCUAAGUGUUGGGAGGCUUCCGCCUCUCAGUGCUGCAGCUAACGCAUUAAGCACUCCGCCUGGGGGAGUACGACCGCA
rnacentral:rRNA from 1 species